CCUACGGGAGGCAGCAGUGAGGAAUAUUGGUCAAUGGACGAGAGUCUGAACCAGCCAAGCAGCGUGAAGGAUGACUGCCCUAUGGGUUGUAAACUUCUUUUAUAUGGGAAUAAAACGUUCCACGUGUGGGUUUUUGUAUGUACUAUAUGAAUAAGCAUCGGCUAACUCCGUGCCAGCAGCCGCGGUAAUACGGAGUAUCCGAGCGUUAUCCGGAUUUAUUGGGUUUAAAGGGAGCGUAGGUGGAUUGUUAAGUCAGUUGUGAAAGCUUGCGGCUCAACCGUAACAUUGCAGUUGAAACUGGCAGUCUUGAGAACAGUAGAGGUGGGCGGAAUUCGUGGUGUAGCGGUGAAAUGCUUAGAUAUCGCGAAGAACUCCGAUUGCGAAGGCAGUUCACUGGACUGCAACUGACACUGAGGCUCGAAAGUGUGGGUAUCAAACAGGAUUAGAUACCCCUGUAGUC
rnacentral:rRNA from 1 species